UACGAGGGGGGCGAGCGUUGUUCGGAAUUAUUGGGCGUAAAGGGUGCGUAGGCGGUUUGGUAAGUCUUGUGUGAAAUCUUCGGGCUCAACUCGAAGUCUGCACGAGAAACUGCCGGGCUUGAGUGUGGGAGAGGUGAGUGGAAUUUCCGGUGUAGCGGUGAAAUGCGUAGAGACCCGGAGGAACACCAGUGGCGAAGGCGGCUUCCUGGUCUGCAACUGACGCUGUGGCGCGAAAGCUAGGGGAGCAAACGGG
rnacentral:rRNA from 1 species